AGCUCCAAUAGCGUAUAUUAAAGUUGCUGCAGUUAAAAAGCUCGUAGUUGCAUUUCCGAGGCAAGGGAUUAGUCCGACCUUUGGUGGGUAUUUAAUCCUCUUGCCUCGUCCUUGAGUGGUGCUUCUUGGUAUUAAGUUAUCGAGGAGAUAGCCGCUCAUCGUUUACUGUGAGAAAAUUAGAGUGUUCAAAGCAGGCUUAUGCCGUUGAAUAUAUUAGCAUGGAAUAAUAAGAUAGGACCUCGGUACUAUUUGGUUGGUUUGAGAACCAAGGUAAUGAUGAAUAGGGACAGUUGGGGGUAUUCGUAUUCAGUUGUCAGAGGUGAAAUUCUUAGAUUUACUGAAGACGAACUACUGCGAAAGCAUUUACCAAGGAUGUUUUCA
rnacentral:rRNA from 1 species